UAUGAACGCUAGCGGCAGGCCUAACACAUGCAAGUCGAGGGAGAAGCCCUUUCGGGGGCGGCACCCGGCGCCCGGGUCCUUAACGCGUAUGCAACUUCCUUUUAUCAGGGGGUUAGCCCGAAGAAUUUUGAUUAAUUACCCCUUAUUAUUUUUGGUUGGCUUCUUUCAUUAUUUAAAACUCCGUUGGAAAAUAUGGGGCAUGCGUCCAAUUAGCUAGUUGGAGUGUUAGCGGCACCCCAAGGCUACGAUAGGUAGGGGUCCUGAGAGGGAGAUCCCCCACACUGGUACUGAGACAGGGACCAGAAUUCUACGGGAGGCAGCAGUGAGGAAUAAUGGUCAAUGGUCGGAAGACUGAACCAGUCAUGCCGCGUGCAGGAAGAAUGCCUUAUGGGUUGUAAACUGCUUUUAUAUGGGAAGAAUAAGGCGUACGGGUACGUUGAUGACGGUACCAUAUGAAUAAGCAGCGGCUAACUCCGUG
rnacentral:rRNA from 1 species